AGACACAGAAGAAAUCAUCAACUUUUUGGACGACAAAGAGAGAGAGCAGAAACGACGCAACGCCUUCGUUCGUUUUGCUCUACCUCACUCGUCCUCUCUCUCUCUCUAUCUGCUUCUUCCACACCCCUCUCCUCUGAUCAGAACUUGAAAUCUGCGAAUUCCUUUGCUCCUAGGGUUUCUUCUUUGGACUUUUGUUAAUUAAUCUAAGAUGCACGUUCGAAGGGUAGUUGCUGGAGCCUGUCGGAAUUUCAUUAUACAUUUCUCUUGAGAAAUAGAAGGAUUUUGGAACUGUCUGGUAGUUCUAGAUUACAUAGACCAUCGUCGUUUCCUGGCGUUAAUAGCUAUCAUCGUGGAUAGAAGCACUGAAAUGUCAUUAUUAGUUGAGUUUCACAAGUAGAUUUGCAUUUUGAAAGCUUCAGAACUGAAAUCCGGACACUUUCCCAGUUUUCUUACAACGUGGGACGUGAGUUUUAACAGAACCAGAUUUAGGAAAUUGAAAAAUCUUCUUCUUUUCUCUUUCGGUUACCUUAGUUUCCGGAGUUAAUCGCUCGACAAGUGUAACUCUUUUAAGGAAGAAAUUUGAAUUUGAAGAAGAAAGAUGGGUGAGAGGAAGGUGCUGAACAAGUAUUACCCACCUGACUUUGAUCCCUCCAAGCUUCCCAGAGCAAGAAGGCCCAAGAACCAGCAGAUCAAGGUCCGCAUGAUGCUUCCCAUGAGCAUUCGAUGCAACACUUGUGGUAACUACAUCUACAAAGGCACCAAGUUCAACUCCAGAAAGGAGGAUGUUAUUGGCGAGACAUAUCUGGGAAUUCAAAUAUUCAGAUUCUACUUUAAAUGCACCAAGUGCUCGGCUGAGCUUACCAUGAAGACUGAUCCACAGAAUUCAGAUUAUGUCGUUGAAUCUGGUGCAACCAGGAAUUUUGAACCUUGGCGUGCAGAAGAUGAAGAAGCUGAUAAAAUGAAGCAGAAGAGGGAGGCUGAAGAGAUGGGAGAUGCAAUGAAAUCGUUGGAGAAUAGAACCCUGGAUUCUAAAAGGGAGAUGGACAUCCUUGCUGCAUUGGAUGAGAUGAAGUCAAUGAAGUCUAGGCAUGCAACUGUCACUGUUGAUGAAAUGCUGGAGGCCUUGCAACGCACCACAGCUGACAAGGAGAAAAGGCUGGAAGAAGAAGAUGAAGCACUGAUAAAAUCAGUAGUCUUUCAUAAUUCAGAAGGUUAUGUCAGAAGAAUUCGGGAUGAAGAUAUUGAAACUGAGGAGCAAUUGGAUCAGCUUUCAAAUGGACAUGGUGAAACAGCCGAUUAUAAUCCAAAGAAGCAAAAAAUUUCUGAAAAUCUUCCAGCCAAACCAACUGACGCUCUGACCAAAGCCAAUUUGGAUAAUUCUGGCAAACAAGUAAUUUCUAUUGAAAGAUGAUUAACAUGAGGAGAGCAGAUAUUGUUAUUGGGUGGGAUAGCUCACCAUUUACAUACACAUGCAUUGUCUGUUAUGAUUCAAAAAAUUCACAUGGUGGUGGAAAGCUUAAUUCUUUAGUGAGGAUUUCCGUAAUUAAGAAACCAGUGAUGUCUGAUGUUAAAAGUCUUGAAGAACCAGAAGAAAAGAAGAAAGAGGAAGAUAAUAAAACCACUCCUACUAGUGGACUACAAUCUGUGUGUCAAAACUACGGAAGUGAUGAUGAGGAUUAGUAUUCAUAGAUAUUACGGAAUGACUAUUUUCGUUUAACAGUUGCUCCCGUUGGAUUGUAAAUUGUACUUGCGAUGGAAUGGGUAUUAUGACUGUACAGACGCAGAAUAGAUAUUUGAAAUUCCCUUCAAUAGCUUGUUUAAGAGCAGGAAGAAAGAAAGGAAGAAAAGGAGCAUAAAUUGCGUGGUUUAUUU